rnacentral:pre_miRNA from 1 species
AAUAAGUGCAGUCGUGGAUAUCCGUGCCCAACGUUUGACCGUUCGUCUUAUUUGAAAAAUUUAAAAAUAUUUAGUCACACAUAAAGUACUAUUCAUGUUUUAUCUAAUAGCAAUAAAAAUACUAAUCAUAAAAAAAUUUCAAAUAAGACGAACGGUCAAACGUUGAACGUAAAUAGUGCAAAACUGCACUUAUU